AUUGAACGCUGGCGGCAGGCCUAACACAUGCAAGUCGAGCGGAUGAAGGGAGCUUGCUCCUGGAUUCAGCGGCGGACGGGUGAGUAAUGCCUAUGAAUCUGCCUGGUAGUGGGGGAUAACGUCCGGAAACGGGCGCUAAUACCGCAUACGUCCUGAGGGAGAAAGUGGGGGAUCUUCGGACCUCACGCUCUCAGAUGAGCCUAGGUCGGAUUAGCUAGUUGGUGGGGUAAAGGCCUACCAAGGCGACGAUCCGUAGCUGGUCUGAGAGGAUGAUCAGCCACACUGGAACUGAGACACGGUCCAGACUCCUACGGGAGGCAGCAGUGGGGAAUAUUGGACAAUGGGCGAAAGCCUGAUCCAGCCAUGCCGCGUGUGUGAAGAAGGUCUUCGGAUUGUAAAGCACUUUAAGUGGGGAGGAAGGGCAGUAAGUUAAUACCUUGCUGUUUUGACGUUACCAACAGAAUAAGCACCGGCUAACUUCGUG
rnacentral:rRNA from 1 species